AUUGAACGCUGGCGGCAGGCCUAACACAUGCAAGUCGAACGAGUGGCGGACGGGUGAGUAAUGUCUGGGCAACUGCCUGAUGGAGGGGGAUAACUACGGGAAACGGUAGCAAAUACCGCAUACCAUCAGAUGUGCCCAGCUGGGAUAAGCUAGCUGGUGGGGUAACGGCUCACAAAGGCGACGAUCCCUAGCUGGUCUGAGAGGAUGACCGGCCACACUGGAACUGAGACACGGACAAGACUCCUACGGGAGGCAGCAGUGGGGAAUAUUGCACAAUGGACGCAAGCCUGAUGGAGCCAUGCCGCGUGUAUGAAGAAGGCCUUCGGAUUGUAAAAUACUUUCAUCAGGGAGGCGUUACCCAAAGAAAAAGCACCGGCUAACUCCGUGCCAGCAGCCGCGGUAAUUC
rnacentral:rRNA from 1 species